rnacentral:rRNA from 1 species
AUUGGACGCUGGCGGCAGGCCCAACACAUGCAAGUCGAACGAGUGGCGGACGGGUGAGUAAUGUCUGGGUAACUGCCUGAUGGAGGGGGAUAACUACUGGAAACGGUAGAUAAUACCGCAUACCAUAAGAUGUGCCCAUAUGGGAUUAGCUAGUUGGUGGGGUAACGGCGCACCAAGGCGACGAUCCCUAGAUGGUCUGAGAGGAUGAACAGCCAGACGGGGACGGAGACACGGCCCAGACUCCUACGCGAGGGCGCAGUGGUGAAUAUUGCACAAGGGGCGCAAGCCUGAUGCAGCCAUGCCGCGUGUAUGAAGAAGGCCUUCGGGUUGUAAAGUACUUUCAGCGGGGAGGCGUUACCCGCAGAAGAAGCACCGGCUAACUCCGUGCAAGCAGCCGCGGUAAUUC